rnacentral:rRNA from 1 species
UACGUAGGGGGCUAGCGUUGUCCGGAAUCAUUGGGCGUAAAGAGCGUGUAGGCGGCCCGGUAAGUCCGCUGUGAAAGUCGGGGGCUCAACCCUCGAAUGCCGGUGGAUACUGUCGGGCUAGAGUGCGGAAGAGGCGAGUGGAAUUCCUGGUGUAGCGGUGAAAUGCGCAGAUAUCAAGAGGAACACCUGAGGUGAAGACGGGUUGCUGGGCUGACACUGACGCUGAGGCGCGAAAGCUAGGGUAGCAAACGGG